rnacentral:tRNA from 1 species
GGCAACGUACUCGGGGGCAGAGCGGGGUCUUCAUAAGGCCUAGGUCGGAGGUUCAAAUCCUCCCUUUCCCC